GACAGAGGAUGCAAGCGUUAUCCGGAAUGAUUGGGCGUAAAGCGUCUGUAGGUGGCUUUUAAGUCCGCCGUCAAAUCCCAGGCUCAACCCUGGACAGGCGGUGGAACUACCAAGCUGGAGUACGGUAGGGCAGAGGAAUUCGGUGGAGCGGUGAAUGCGUAGAGAUCGGAAAGAACACCAACGGCGAAAGCACUCUGCUGGGCCGACACUGACACUGAGAGACGAAAGCUAGGGAGCGAAUGGG
rnacentral:rRNA from 1 species